rnacentral:rRNA from 1 species
GGUUAAGCGACUAAGCGUACACGGUGGAUGCCCUGGCAGUCAGAGGCGAUGAAGGACGUGCUAAUCUGCGAUAAGCGUCGGUAAGGUGAUAUGAACCGUUAUAACCGGCGAUUUCCGAAUGGGGAAACCCAGUGUGUUUCGACACACUAUCAUUAACUGAAUCCAUAGGUUAAUGAGGCGAACCGGGGGAACUGAAACAUCUAAGUACCCCGAGGAAAAGAAAUCAACCGAGAUUCCCCCAGUAGCGGCGAGCGAACGGGGAGCAGCCCAGAGCCUGAAUCAGUGUGUGUGUUAGUGGAAGCGUCUGGAAAGGCGCGCGAUACAGGGUGACAGCCCCGUACACAAAAAUGCACAUGCUGUGAGCUCGAUGAGUAGGGCGGGACACGUGGUAUCCUGUCUGAAUAUGGGGGGACCAUCCUCCAAGGCUAAAUACUCCUGACUGACCGAUAGUGAACCAGUACCGUGAGGGAAAGGCGAAAAGAACCCCGGCGAGGGGAGUGAAAAAGAACCUGAAACCGUGUACGUACAAGCAGUGGGAGCACGCUUCGGCGUGUGACUGCGUACCUUUUGUAUAAUGGGUCAGCGACUUAUAUUCUGUAGCAAGGUUAACCGAAUAGGGGAGCCGAAGGGAAACCGAGUCUUAACUGGGCGUUAAGUUGCAGGGUAUAGACCCGAAACCCGGUGAUCUAGCCAUGGGCAGGUUGAAGGUUGGGUAACACUAACUGGAGGACCGAACCGACUAAUGUUGAAAAAUUAGCGGAUGACUUGUGGCUGGGGGUGAAAGGCCAAUCAAACCGGGAGAUAGCUGGUUCUCCCCGAAAGCUAUUUAGGUAGCGCCUCGUGAAUUCAUCUCCGGGGGUAGAGCACUGUUUCGGCAAGGGGGUCAUCCCGACUUACCAACCCGAUGCAAACUGCGAAUACCGGAGAAUGUUAUCACGGGAGACACACGGCGGGUGCUAACGUCCGUCGUGAAGAGGGAAACAACCCAGACCGCCAGCUAAGGUCCCAAAGUCAUGGUUAAGUGGGAAACGAUGUGGGAAGGCCCAGACAGCCAGGAUGUUGGCUUAGAAGCAGCCAUCAUUUAAAGAAAGCGUAAUAGCUCACUGGUCGAGUCGGCCUGCGCGGAAGAUGUAACGGGGCUAAACCAUGCACCGAAGCUGCGGCAGCGACGCUUAUGCGUUGUUGGGUAGGGGAGCGUUCUGUAAGCCUGUGAAGGUGUGCUGUGAGGCAUGCUGGAGGUAUCAGAAGUGCGAAUGCUGACAUAAGUAACGAUAAAGCGGGUGAAAAGCCCGCUCGCCGGAAGACCAAGGGUUCCUGUCCAACGUUAAUCGGGGCAGGGUGAGUCGACCCCUAAGGCGAGGCCGAAAGGCGUAGUCGAUGGGAAACAGGUUAAUAUUCCUGUACUUGGUGUUACUGCGAAGGGGGGACGGAGAAGGCUAUGUUGGCCGGGCGACGGUUGUCCCGGUUUAAGCGUGUAGGCUGGUUUUCCAGGCAAAUCCGGAAAAUCAAGGCUGAGGCGUGAUGACGAGGCACUACGGUGCUGAAGCAACAAAUGCCCUGCUUCCAGGAAAAGCCUCUAAGCAUCAGGUAACAUCAAAUCGUACCCCAAACCGACACAGGUGGUCAGGUAGAGAAUACCAAGGCGCUUGAGAGAACUCGGGUGAAGGAACUAGGCAAAAUGGUGCCGUAACUUCGGGAGAAGGCACGCUGAUAUGUAGGUGAAGUCCCUUGCGGAUGGAGCUGAAAUCAGUCGAAGAUACCAGCUGGCUGCAACUGUUUAUUAAAAACACAGCACUGUGCAAACACGAAAGUGGACGUAUACGGUGUGACGCCUGCCCGGUGCCGGAAGGUUAAUUGAUGGGGUCAGCGCAAGCGAAGCUCUUGAUCGAAGCCCCGGUAAACGGCGGCCGUAACUAUAACGGUCCUAAGGUAGCGAAAUUCCUUGUCGGGUAAGUUCCGACCUGCACGAAUGGCGUAAUGAUGGCCAGGCUGUCUCCACCCGAGACUCAGUGAAAUUGAACUCGCUGUGAAGAUGCAGUGUACCCGCGGCAAGACGGAAAGACCCCGUGAACCUUUACUAUAGCUUGACACUGAACAUUGAGCCUUGAUGUGUAGGAUAGGUGGGAGGCUUUGAAGUGUGGACGCCAGUCUGCAUGGAGCCGACCUUGAAAUACCACCCUUUAAUGUUUGAUGUUCUAACGUUGACCCGUAAUCCGGGUUGCGGACAGUGUCUGGUGGGUAGUUUGACUGGGGCGGUCUCCUCCUAAAGAGUAACGGAGGAGCACGAAGGUUGGCUAAUCCUGGUCGGACAUCAGGAGGUUAGUGCAAUGGCAUAAGCCAGCUUGACUGCGAGCGUGACGGCGCGAGCAGGUGCGAAAGCAGGUCAUAGUGAUCCGGUGGUUCUGAAUGGAAGGGCCAUCGCUCAACGGAUAAAAGGUACUCCGGGGAUAACAGGCUGAUACCGCCCAAGAGUUCAUAUCGACGGCGGUGUUUGGCACCUCGAUGUCGGCUCAUCACAUCCUGGGGCUGAAGUAGGUCCCAAGGGUAUGGCUGUUCGCCAUUUAAAGUGGUACGCGAGCUGGGUUUAGAACGUCGUGAGACAGUUCGGUCCCUAUCUGCCGUGGGCGCUGGAGAACUGAGGGGGGCUGCUCCUAGUACGAGAGGACCGGAGUGGACGCAUCACUGGUGUUCGGGUUGUCAUGCCAAUGGCACUGCCCGGUAGCUAAAUGCGGAAGAGAUAAGUGCUGAAAGCAUCUAAGCACGAAACUUGCCCCGAGAUGAGUUCUCCCUGACCCUUUAAGGGUCCUGAAGGAACGUUGAAGACGACGACGUUGAUAGGCCGGGUGUGUAAGCGCAGCGAUGCGUUGAGCUAACCGGUACUAAUGAACCGUGAGGCUUAACCUU